rnacentral:rRNA from 1 species
GACGAACGCUGGCGGCGUGCCUAAUACAUGCAAGUCGAGCGAGUCUGCCUUGAAGAUCGGAGUGCUUGCACCCUGUGAAACAAGAUACAGGCUAGCGGCGGACGGGUGAGUAACACGUGGGUAACCUGCCCAAGAGAUCGGGAUAACACCUGGAAACAGAUGCUAAUACCGGAUAACAACAGAUGAUGCCUAUCAACUGUUUAAAAGAUGGUUCUGCUAUCACUCUUGGAUGGACCUGCGGUGCAUUAGCUAGUUGGUAGGGUAACGGCCUACCAAGGCGAUGAUGCAUAGCCGAGUUGGGAGACUGAUCGGCCACAUUGGGACUGAGACACGGCCCAAACUCCUACGGGAGGCAGCAGUAGGGAAUCUUCCACAAUGGACGCAAGUCUGAUGGAGCAACGCCGCGUGAGUGAAGAAGGGUUUCGGCUCGUAAAGCUCUGUUGUUGGUGAAGAAGGACAGGGGUAGUAACUGACCUUUGUUUGACGGUAAUCAAUGAGAAAGUCACGGCUAACUACGUG